CCCGCUGAGCCCCAAGAGCUGAGGGCGCUGAGCCCCGUGGUGGCCCGGGCUGGACCCCCUUGCCGGAGUCUUGUGGCUCUGUGUGCUGCUGCAGCGACACAACAGCAGAACCCUCGCUGGUUUCUGAGAGCCAGGAGAAAGCUCGGUGGUUUCUGAGAGCCAGGAGAAAGCUCGGUGGUUUCUGAGAGCCAGGAGAAUCCUCGCUGGUUUCUGAGAUUUCCCUGAGCCACAGCCCAGAAGUGGAACAGUGAGAAGAACUCUGGAAGGAGCAAUGAUCCUGGGAAUGCACAGUCCUGGAAGUGGAGCAGCCAGUGCAUGUCCAGGGGGGAGUACACACAGUGUGCAAUUGCCUGAAGAGAGGAGGCACCUGGGCAGACCAGUGCUGGGUGGGAAAGUGACUUGGAAGAGAGAAACAGAUGCUUUCUGAAAGCUGGUGGCAAAUGAAAACAAAGCCUCUUCACGCAGCCUGAGUUGCUAGGUUAGGUAGGCCUGUGGAGGUGGGAGUGCUGCUCCCAGAAUCUGAGUGCUCUCCGACAGUCCUUUGCUCAGAAUGAAAUUGCAGAAAUAUUGAACAGUUAUUGAACUGUCCCUGCAGUGGCUGUGUCCAUGCUCAGAAACGGAAGGAAAUGGGAUAGAGGUUUUUGACCCACCAAUGAAGGGCUGUGGGGAGAAAUCAUCUGAUUCUGCUGAUCCCACAGGGGAGACUCCCCUGCAAUUUCUUGGACUGCUGGGUUGAGUUUACAGGCAAGGGGAAAGAGACCCUGAAAAAGUGGUGAUCACUGAUGCUGUUGCCUGAAAGCUGCAAGGUCUGAGCACAGUUACUGCUGGUGUCCCUUGAUAAGCUUUUGGGACACCGAGGAGUAACUCGCACGCCUUGUUCUGGAUGGUGCAUGCCAGGAGAUGGGCAGAUCAGUGCCACAAGCAAGGAUAGUGCUGGGAGUUCAGCUUGGAAAGCAUUUUAGAAGGGCUUGGAAGAGAUGUUGACUGUUGCAGUGUUGAUCCUGAUAAUUUUGUCUGUGGGAGAAGGGCUGGGUUUGGGAUAUGUUUUUUGUCUUAUGUUUGCAUUGGUGAGGUGUUAACUACACUGGCCUGCAGGAGCAAGGGAUGGAGUGAAUAUGCAGUCAGAUGAUGAUUAUGUUAAAGAUGGGGUUUGAAUAAAGGUGAAACAAUUCUUGACACAUCUUUCAAUAAAGUGCAGGGUGGAGUGUAAAGAACAUAAAUUGCAGAUGGCAUCAAGGGAUGGCAGUGGUGACCUAUGUGAGAACCAUUGAAACAAACACCCUGUCCCAUGCCAGAAUUUAAGCUCCCAGUUCUGUGACUCAGGAAUACUUCUGGAGACACAGGUGCACUUAUUGAAGGAGAUCCAUGCUGAAAGGACUUAAUUCCAAGGGGUCUGCAGCUGGUGGAUGAGUUAUGCUUGAACAAAGACACCAGUGAGGGCUCUAUGGGCACUGGGUAACCUGUGCUGGAGAAGGCAUUCUCUUAAAAGUCUUGUGCAUCAUUGUAACAUUGUACCUUUAUUGUUCAAUAAACAUAUGUAUUUGAUCUCA